AAGACAUAAUAAUUGAAGGGAUCACAGGAAAAGGUAGGUAUCAGUAUAUCAACUCCAAAGACCCUUCUCCCUGAAUUUACUCUAGUUUUCCUUUUGCACCUCUUCGUUUAUCUGAUCUGGAAAGAAAAGAGGGGAUACUUGUUUUGGUUAGAGAGGGGACUCUUGUUAAGGUGGGGUCUUUGACAGCUAGCAGCACCAACAAGACACUACCACAGGUUGGGCUGAAAAGCUAAAAGGGACUGAUGGAAACGAAAGUUGUGUAGCUGUGAUGGUCUGUAAGCUGAGUACGAAGAAGAAGCCAAUGUCAGAGACAAGUUUUGUUGCGAUUCUUGAGAGAGAUGGGCUUCUCAGAACCAGGGAUGUUGUUUGGAUAUCAGUUUUCUAAGGCUUAUGCAGCUGGCAAGAAUGGGUUUUUGUCCCCAGUCUCCAUGCAACUUUUCCUUACUUAUCUUCACUGAAUAAACCUAAUGCCAAAAACUAUUCCAAUAUCCAAGUGGUAUACGGUAUAUUUUCUUGGUCAAAGAUAAUACCAACAAGCGUUUUAGCUUUUA